UACAGAGGUCUCAAGCGUUUGUUCGGAUUCAUUGGGCGUAAAGGGUGCGUAGGCGGGUCUUUUAAGUCAGGGGUGAAAUCCUGGAGCUCAACUCCAGAACUGCCUUGAUACUGAAGAUCUUGAGUUCGGGAGAGGUGAGUGGAACUGCGAGUGUAGAGGUGAAAUUCGUAGAUAUUCGCAAGAACACCAGUGGCGAAGGCGGCUCACUGGCCCGAUACUGACGCUGAGGCACGGAAAGCGUGG
rnacentral:rRNA from 1 species